GAUCAUGGCUCAGGACGAACGCUGGCGGCGUGCUUAACACAUGCAAGUCGAACGAACGUAGAAAUACGUUAGUGGCGGACGGGUGAGUAACGCGCGAGCAAUCUGCCCUUGUCAGUGGAAUAACACAGAGAAAUUUGUGCUAAUACCGCAUAAUAUUCAAAUAAGGCAUCUUAUAUGAAUCAAAGAUUUAUCGGACAAGGAUGAGCUCACGUCCCACUUAGGUAGUUGGUGAGGUAACGG
rnacentral:rRNA from 1 species